rnacentral:rRNA from 1 species
UGGGGAAUAUUGCACAAUGGGCGCAAGCCUGAUGCAGCCAUGACGCGUGUAUGAAGAAGGCCUUCGGGUUGUAAAGUACUUUCAGUCGGGAGGAAGGUGGUAAGGUUAAUAACCUUGGCAAUUGACGUUACCGACAGAAGAAGCACCGGCUAACUCCGUGCCAGCAGCCGCGGUAAUACGGAGGGUGCAAGCGUUAAUCGGAAUUACUGGGCGUAAAGCGCACGCAGGCGGUUGAUUGAGUCAGAUGUGAAAUCCCCGGGCUUAACCCGGGAAUUGCAUCUGAUACUGGUCAGCUAGAGUCUUGUAGAGGGGGGUAGAAUUCCAUGUGUAGCGGUGAAAUGCGUAGAGAUGUGGAGGAAUACCGGUGGCGAAGGCGGCCCCCUGGACAAAGACUGACGCUCAGGUGCGAAAGCGUGGGGAGCAAACAGG